rnacentral:rRNA from 1 species
CUCCAACCCCUGUGACAUACCAAUUGUUGCCUCGGCGGAUCAGCCCGCUCCCGGUAAAACGGGACGGCCCGCCAGAGGACCCCUAAACUCUGUUUCUAUAUGUAACUUCUGAGUAAAACCAUAAAUAAAUCAAAACUUUCAACAACGGAUCUCUUGGUUCUGGCAUCGAUGAAGAACGCAGCAAAAUGCGAUAAGUAAUGUGAAUUGCAGAAUUCAGUGAAUCAUCGAAUCUUUGAACGCACAUUGCGCCCGCCAGUAUUCUGGCGGGCAUGCCUGUUCGAGCGUCAUUUCAACCCUCAAGCCCAGCUUGGUGUUGGGACUCGCGAGUCAAAUCGCGUUCCCCAAAUUGAUUGGCGGUCACGUCGAGCUUCCAUAGCGUAGUAGUAAAACCCUCGUUACUGGUAAUCGUCGCGGCCACGCCGUUAAACCCCAACUUCUGAAUGUUGACCUCGGAUCAGGUAGGAAUACCCGCUGAACUUA